CUUCGCCUGUGCUGCUGGGGUACCUCUUCCAGCUUAGUUCCAUCUGAAAGGAAUCUGGUCUGUGCUUGGAGACUGCACAGUAUGUGGGGCAUUCUGGCUUCAGAAGCACGCUGCUACUCCAGACUUGAGCACUGAUGUAAUGGGAAGGGGCAGAGGGAAUACUCAGAAUGUACUAUUUCAUGUUACAGGUGCUGACAGCAUGUGGAGCUGAGAGCAGUGAAAGUCCAAAGGACUGGGGCACCAGAGGAGGUCACCAGGAGCUGUCAUGACUGCAGGACAUAUAUAAGCCCUGCAGGAAAGAGAAAGGGAGAAUGAUUCAUUGGUUGAUGCAAGCCUCUGUAGGUGUGAAGAACACUUGUCCAUUCGUAAUUGAAACUAUUCAAGAUGCAUGGGCCUGAAAGGGCAUUAUAAGUUUCUCUUGCUCUCUGGUGUAGUAAAGAUCUUGUCUUCUAGCAAACAAUAUGAAUGAAAGAUUUUCUUACAAGAAGAGACGAUCAACAGUAACUGGAAGGAAAAUACUGGACAACGUUUCUUGGAACUGGGGUUGGAAGAGGAGUAGACUGAAUCAAGCCUCUGUCAAGAACCACUUCUGCAAUACUGAAUUAACAUACCUAAGAUCAGCACAUCAGGAAGAUAGCCUUCUACCAAGAAUAGUGUGGAGAUACACCUUGUUCACAGAAGCUCUGGAAACAUCAUGAGACUCAGACAGAUACAGUGCAUCCUCCGAUUGCGGAGAUGUUGCUGCUCUCUGAGCACUGCACACUCUGUGUUCAUGACUGAUGGAAAUAAUGCCCGGUUUUGGGGGAGCUUUGUGUUAUGGGAGACAGUAACAGCUGCUCUAAUAGGGUGGCUUAUCACUUUCUUGUGGAGACAGGUACAGCUUCUGUUCUCUUUUCCACCCUCAAAUCCGGUAUAACAUUAAUUAGAUUGUUACUAGGUUUCAUUAGUGAAGCUCCAUAAAACAAAAAAGGUUCUAUAGUCAUGCUAAAACUUGGUAUGCCAUUUAUACAAAGGGGGUGAACAGAGAUCAGUAGCCAUGAAACACUGCUUUUCCAGAAGUGUGAAAUAUUUAGGUAAAAUAUCUAGGUGAAAUCUGAGAGAAAUUUGAUUACUGCUUUAUAAAAUGUUGCCUCUUCCCUUCUAAAUAGGUUCUAUCAUCUCAUUAAUGCAAGCCCUGCCCCUUCACCUAGAUUCCUUCCCAGGCAGCUACAGUGGAUCUGCUCACCAAGGGAAUUUGUCCCACUGGAUUCCAUUUUUUUCUGUGCAGUUGAAUGAAAAGUGUGUGUCUUUUGAAGAACAGCAACUGAAAGAAAUAUUGAUGACUGCCAGGGUAUCUACAGAAAAUGAUAUGAAAAUUACUCUACUACAACAGUGAAGAAAAAUGGGCUUUGUUAACUCUUUCUUGUAGGUUGUUUAUAUUAAUAGGAACAAGUAAAGUUUUGUAUUUUUUCAGAGAAAUACACAAGGCCUUGAAUUGUAUUGUUUUAAUUGCAGCUAACUGAAUGAAUUAAGUGGAAAAACGCGCACAGUACUUUGAUUGUCUAAUUCUCUGUAUGUGAGGCUUUGGGAACAAUUUGUUACUAUAAAAGAACAGCAGUAACCAGAAAUCAGCCGACAUGUAAUUGCUAGGCAGAGGGGCAGUUUGGGGAAAGCUGAUACUUAUUUAUAAAUUAUUAAAUAAAAGCACAUAAUAUGAGGAUCA
ensembl:lncRNA